GGAUUUUUUUUUUGCGGGAUCAUCAUUUUCACAUUUAGUACCCUGUGCACAAAAUUAUUUGCUGCAUUCAAGAUUGCUGCUUUUGAAGUUUGUGUUUAAUAUAAAAAUUAAUGGAUGUGCUAUGAUCUUGUGCAGAAGAGACAGAUCAGUCAUAAUGUGGCCAAGUUCAAAUUAGUUUCCCUAGACCUACUUCUGUUUUGGGCCUUGCAAUUGGCCGAUAUAUAAGAUGCAGAGGGAAGGAUUCUACUAGUGAGGAAGUAGUCAUGCCUUAUACUCGGACUACACUGGAUUUUGAUAUUGGAUACUUUGAGCUUGUUUUAAAGGUAAUUUGUCGUAAACAUGUUCCAACCCCACUGGAUGUCUCUUAUCAUUGAUUCUGAUGGUAAAAAGGCAUUGUGACAAGUUGACUAGAAUAAUUAGCUUCAUUGUACACCAUAUUAUUAAUUCACUUCUGAAGAUAUGAUGGCAGCAAACUGUUAGCUACAGCUAUCUCUGCAAGGGGUUUCGUGGUAGGAAACUGUUGCGCUUGUGGUCCAUUUUUCAAGUAUUAGUUUCUGCAAGUAUUUCAUUCUCCACGAUCCUGCCGCUCCUCCGCCCCUGCGAUGCCUCAACCUCCUCGUAGCCCUGCACAUCAAACUGUUAGGUACAACUCUCUGUACAAGGGGUUUCGUGGUACGAAACUGUUGCGCUUGUGAUCCAAUUAUGAAGUAUUAAUUACUACAAGUGACCCGAAGCGGCACACACCUACAUGCUGGUGUGCUGAGAAGAUCAAGCACGCUAAGAAGAUCAAGCAGGCAGAGAAAAAAGUCCGUAGUUCUAGAUUCUCAGGCAAGGUAGAGAAGACUCAUGGUAGGCAGGGUGUGCUUGUCCGUACAAAAAACAUCGCACAUUUAAUGGCAGCUGAUCAUGUAGUACAAACAUCAUACGUUGAAGACAUGUGGGAGGUUGAAGAUGAUGUUCGAUGAGUUCUUGGCUUUCAUGAGUAUGUAGUCAUUUAUCCGGUUGUUGUAAUUGAACACAUGCAUGUGUGUCUGCUUGUGUGCCGCUAUUAGCACCCUCCUACUUUUACAACAAAUCAGAGAAGGUUAGGUAAUAUUCUUUGCUUGUUUAAUGAAAUGCGCCUGUGCAAAUUUGCAUCAAUCCAUAAUGUGGUGAGAAUCUUAGAAAAAUGGUGGAUUAAUU